UAAACGGCCCUUUUCAGGGUCACAAAAUCAAUGAAAAAGAGUUAUU
rfam:Aedes aegypti strain Liverpool supercont1.443 genomic scaffold, whole genome shotgun sequence.